rnacentral:piRNA from 2 species
UCCCACAAGAGGUACUGAGAAGGUGGAAU